rnacentral:lncRNA from 1 species
UUCAAGAUCCCCAAAUAUUAACUUUGUGAAUGUGGGCAAGUUUCUUCAACAUCCUAAGCCUCAUUUUUUGACAUUUGAAAAAUAGUACCUCCUUCAUAGGGUUGUUGUAGCAUUUACAAGCAUUUAAUUAAUGGGAAUUAAUUAUCACAUAAGAAUAUAUUUAAAAGAGAGCACUCCAAGCAAUCAUGCUUUGAAAAUUAAGAAGAUGAGUUAUUAUAUUUAAGGUGUAAUCCUGGGUCCUCUGAAUCAAAAGAUUGAAACAUGAUCUUGGAUUGGGAGUAAAAAUAAGUGAUUGAAUUUUUUUCUUUUGGACAAAAAUGAAUAUUUUGCAGUUGAAAAAAUAUUUCAUUAACUAGAUUGAAACUUCUCACAGUCAAUGUGAGCCAGCUCAGCUGAAUAUCUGUUAUUUGGGGCUGGACAGUGAGGGAUGCCAUACAAAGCUCUUCUGUGUCCAGGCUGAGUAACAGCCAUAUGAUACUCCCAGACAUACCUUUUCAAGCCACGUGACACAUUGCCAUGCCAAGCACAGAGAGUCUGUAUAUUUCUCUUUCCUGUUAUUACACAUUCCAUGCUGAUUUCAAUGUAGAAUGAGCAUUUGAAUAGCCUGUGUGUUGAAAAUUGAACCCAGUGAGACAAACUCUUAAGGACUCGCUUUUAAUAACAGAAUGAGAUGAGAGAGAAGGCAGGCCUAUGCAUUUCCCUUUGCUCUAACUAGCAGUCCCAGAAACAAAUAAUGAGUGCCCAUUGUCAAUGACAAUGUGCCUUGCAAAGAAGGCACAGCUAUCCCAAGAACAAGUAACUGUGUCUAUAGGUAAUAAGCAAAUGGACUCUUGAAUAUAUAUUCAGAGUACAAAUUUGGAACACACAUGAAGAGCUAGCGAAGACAAUUUGGUUGUGUUGAGGUUAGUAGUGUGAAAGAAUCUGCUUUACAGCUUUUGAUUCUGUAAUGCAGGCUUUGCAAGUGAAGUAGAAUGUUAUUUGGACUUUUUUUUUUUUUUUUUUUUUUUUUUAGAUGGAGUCUUGCCCUGUUGCCUAGGCUGGAGUGCAGUGGAGCAAUCUUGGCUCACUGCAACCUCCACCUCCCCUCCCAGGUUCAAACGAUUCUCCUGCCUCAGCCUCCCAAGUAGCUGGGAUUACAGGUGCCUGCCAGCAAGCCCAGCUAAUUUUUUUUUCUUUUGUAUUUUUAGUAGAGACGGGGGUUUCACCAUGUUGGCCAGGCUGGUCUCGAACUCCUGACCUCAUGAUCUGCCCACCUCGGCCUCCCAAAGUGUUGGGAUUACAGGCAUGAGCCACUGCACCUGGCCUAUUUGGACCUUUAAGAGUGGGAUCAUCAUGAUUUGGUGGUGCAGCAAGGAGACAAAUUAUAUCCUUUGGAGGUGCUGGCAGAAUAAAAUACCUUACAAGGCAGCACCUUGAAGCUGGCAGAGAAGUGAAAAGAAUCCAUGCAGGUGAUGACACAGGCAGUCCUGGGAGUGAAAGGUGGAGGUGGCAUGGAGGGGUAGAAGCGGGUGGAGGAUGGAGAGGCAGGGCUUCAUCAUAUGAAUAAAGAGCCACAGAGGUGACAGCGGGAAAUAACGAUGUGCAUAUGAAGUGUGCAGCAUGUGGAAUCUGAGGGAGAAAGGACAGAGCAUGAAGGGGGUUUCAAUGAAGGUGAGGAAGGAUCUCUACAGUACUUCCCUGGUAUCAAAUUUCUUAUUUCAUUGUAUAUAUUGAAGGUGUCCAACAUCAUGUUGUGAUAUACACAGUGAAAUGUUUACUACAGUCAAGCAAAUUAUCCUAUCCAUCAUCUUCCAUUGUUACUUUUUGAGGUGGGAUCACCUAAAAGCUACUUUCUUAGCUGAUUUCCGAUAUACUACACAAUACAGUCAGCCUUCUGUAUUUGCAGGUUUCACAUCUCUGGAUUUAAGCAACUGUAGCUUGAAAAUACUUGAAAAAAAAAUAACAAUAAAAAUAGCACAAUAAAUAUAAUACAAAUACACCAAUACAGGGUGACAGCUAUUUACAUAGCAUUUAUAUUGUAUUAGGUAUUAUAAGUAAUCUAGAAAUGAUUUAAUGUGUGCAGAAAGAUACGCCUAGGUUAUAUGCAAAUACUAUACCAUUUUAAACUGGAGACUUCAGUAUCCAUUGAUUUUGGUUUUGGAGGCGGGGCAAAGGUGGGGGGUUUGCCUGGAACAAUUGGCUGCAGAUGCUGAGGGAUGACUGUAUAUAAGUUGGCGUGGAAAUUCCCGACUUUGUAGGUUGUACACAUGCUGAUAUUGUCUUUCCUUGCCUUUUUUAUUCUAACAACAUUCUCACCCCCUCCUCAGUUGUAUAAUUCAUCCGGUUUAUUAUGAACUACAGUCCUCAUGCUGUACAUGAGCUCUCUAGACUUAAUCUCCCUCCCUGUUCUAGUUCUGUUUCUAUACUUUUUUUUUCUCCAAGAGAUAGGGUCUUGCUUUGUUGCCCAGGCUGAAGUGCGAUGGCACGAUCAUCCUAGCUCCCUGUAGCCUUGAAUGCCUAAGCUCCCAAGCAGUGGGGACUACAGGUGUAUGCGCCACCCCGCCCCACUGAUUUUUUUUUUUUUUUCAUUUGUUUAAAGAUACAGGGUUUUCUAUGUUGCCCAGGCUGGUCUCCAAUGCCUGACCUCAAGUGAUCCUCCUGCCUCAUUCUCUUGAGUAGCUGGAAUUACACGUGCGAGCCACUGCUAUUGGCUUUUUCUAUGUAUUCGAUGUCUGUUUUAGAUUUCACAGUGAAAUCAUACACGAUUUUUGUUUCUGUGACUGGCUUGUUUCACUUAGCAUAAUGACUUCCAGAUUGAUCCGUGUCACAAAUGGCAGAUUUCCUUCUUUUAAAAGGCUGAAUAGUAUUCCAUUAUAUAUAUGUACCACAAUUUCUUUAUCCAUUCAUCCCUCAAUGGACACUUAGGUUGUUUGUAUAUCUUGGCUACUGUGAAUAAUGCUACAGUGAAUGUGGGAGUAUAGAUAUCUCUACAGGGUACUGAUUUCAUUUCCUCUGGGUAUGUAGCUUUUCAAUUUUUAAUGUUAUAUAAGAUGGAAUCUCUUAGGAUAUUGUCAAGAAACAGCACCGUAAAAAUGAAUAACAUAAGAGUUUAAUUAAGAAAUUAUCGUCAAAGUUGUGGGCAGAGUGCAGGGAAGCCAUGGGGAGCCUUCAGGGUGGGGAGCAUUUUCACUGCCACCUCCAAGGGGCAAACAGAGGGAGGAGUUACUGGAGCCCUGGUGGAGAGUACCAGGUGGAGGGGGCUGCUGGACAGGAGCUGCAGCAGGGCCUACAGUCCAUAUCCAGGACGUGGGCGGGGGGACAAGUGUGUAGGUUGAUCUUUCCACUUUUCAUAGACACAGGAACUCUCUGCAUGUGGUACUAUGUUGAUUUCUACUGCAAGGAUUUCUUCCUUGAUUUCAGUCUCCUCUUGGAGUUGAAGGGACAGAGAAAGAAGAAGAAAGACUUUUGUGGGAUAUUUUUUUCAACUUCUCUCUGCAGCCAUCAAAGGAGAAAUUGAACUACCACAGGAGCAUUGCGAUGUGUUUGGUGGUCAGGAGGGUGGUGAGACACGGAGAUUCGUUGAGCAUUAGCAGAUGGCCCUGAAGCUUCUUACCACGGGACCAUCUGCAGGUCUGCUUGAUUUAUAAUCUCUUCCUUUGCCUGCUUUAAGAGUGUUGAUUGAAACUAUACAUCCUGAAAUACACCUACCUGUUUUUGCUUUAAAUAUCCACUAUGAGAAACACCAAUAACAUAAGCACGACUCAAAAGAAGGAGAAACUCAGACUGCCUCUUCCCUAGCCACAGGAGCUUGCCUUGGCUCUUUUUACUGAAUCCUCCUAUUCUUGGUGAAUUCCACAAGGAAAAGGGAUAAGGAGGCAGCUCUCGCUAUAUCUCAGAAACCGAAAAUAAAAUUGAGACAAACCUUUCCAUUUCUUUUUUGAGACG